rnacentral:lncRNA from 1 species
CUGCUCCAAAUGCUCUCUAAGCUUCACUUUCACCCGAUUCUCUAUAGUGAUCGACUAUUCUUCGAAUCCCUUCCAGACUUCUCCCAGCCACAAUCGACUCUCCUCCAAACUCCUUCCCGACUUCAUCGAUGAUCGAGCUUCUUCGACAGUAGGACUUCUACAGUGACCAAACUCCAUCCUAGUUUCUACGAUGGUCGAUCGCCUUUCGAAUUUCAGCCGAACUUCUACCGCA